ACAGCAGGUCGCCUUAUCGCUUCAAACUUGUUUUGAAGAGGAAAGUCCGGGCACCAUAGGGAAGUAUAGCGGCUAACAGCCGUCAUUUCUAGUAGCUUUAGCUAAAAGGAGAGGACUAGUGCAACAGAAAGUAUGUACAGGUUAUGCUGUAGUGAAACCAGGUAAACUCUAUACGGUGAAAUGCCACGUAUACCAGCAAUAAGGGUUCCCGCCCAUGCUGGAGGGUGGGCAGAUUGAGUGUAUGUGUAAAUGUACACCUAGAUAAAUGAUAAGGAAUUUUUGGCAUAAGCCAAAUUGAACAGAACCCGGCUUAUAGACCUGCUUUUUUU
rnacentral:RNase_P_RNA from 1 species